GACAGAGGGGGCAAGCGUUGUCCGGAUUGACUGGGCGUACAGCGCGCGCAGGCGGCAUGCGACGUGCCCUGUGACAGGCGGGAGCUCAACUCCCGACGGCCAGGGUAGACGCGCAGGCUAGAGGCAGGGAGAGGGCAGUGGAAUACCCGGUGGAGCGGUGAAAUGCGCGGAUAUCAGGAGGAACACCCGUAGCGAAGGCGGCACUCUGGGCCGAUACUGACACUGAGGAGCGAAAGCGUGGGGAGCGAACAGG
rnacentral:rRNA from 1 species